rnacentral:lncRNA from 1 species
GGGUUAUCGAUUAACAGAGAAGGAGGAAUUGGGGAUGAUGCUGAGAACUCCUAGUUAAAUAACUGGAAGAACUGUGUUAUUCACAUUAAGGACGAGGGAAAGCAUAUUUGGGAGAAGUGCUAUUUCUGCAUCGUCCUUGUUGAGAAUGCAGUGAGCGUGAGGCAAAUAAUUACAAUUGUCCAAAGUGCUGUUGAGUACAGGAAACUCAAGCUCAGAUUACCUGGAUGUGGUGGCUGCAAUUGCAUCUGCUAUCUUGGGUGAAUAAAGAAAACCAGCAUAAGAAAACAAUCCAAAAUGCUGAACAUGGCAGAAUACAAAAAUAGAAAAUAUGAAGCUGUGACCUUGAAGAUGUCAUCGACCCCCUUAAUAAAAAAAACAUGAAGUCACCCUACCAGAAGACCUUUUGUUGUUUGAGUUAAUAAAUAAUAAAUUAAGCCAUUUU